AAACCGCGGAUCUUUCAAUGUUUAUCUAAUUUGUACGGUACCAGUUAAAAAGAACAGUGAAUGACCACUACGGUUAAAUGCUUGAUGACAAGUCAUUUUACUAUCAAACCAGUUCAGUGCAGAGAAUGAAAUUAUUGACGAUCUGGACAUAUUUAACAAAUAAAUGUACAGUGUAUUCUGUGAAGGACAACAAUGUUUGGAGACUCGAAACCUACAGGAUUUGGAACCCCUUUUGUGCGAAGUAAAAGUACUACACCAAGAUUUGAAUCUACAGCAUUUGGACAGGCAACACAUACAGCAGGAGGAGGGUUAUUUGGGCAGAGUUUGACAGGAACUGGCACAAGGACUUGUCUCUAUGGUGGAAGUGUAGGGUCAGCAUUUGGGACACAGUCAUCAGGAUUUAAUUUCGGUGCAACCCCUAGCAGUAUAGGUGGACUGUUUGGACAGAAGACUACAGCCAACACUGGCCUGUUUGGCACACCAGCUGCAGCUAGCACCACAGGUGGAUUUGGAGCUACAACAACAACUGGCAGCAGUGAAGCUUGCCUGUUUGGAAUGACAAAUAAUGCAGGCAACGGGCUCUUUUUGGCAAGUCCAGCCCAAAACUGGUACAGCCAUCAAAUUUAAUCCACCCCCAGGGUCAGGAUAUCCACCCCCAGGGUCAGGAUAUGAUGGUAAAGAAUGAUGUAACACAGAAUAUCAAUACAAAACAUCAGUGUAUCACUGCAAUGAAAGAAUAUGAGGGGAACAGUCUGGAGUGAACCAUACUGAAGCUGGACACCGAAGUAUGUCAAAACAGAAAUCCUUGUCACCACCAGUUACUCAAAAUAUAGACGUCUCCUCCAGAACAUCUUCAGGGCUUGGAUUUGGAACCCCUGCGGCAUCGGCCACACAACCUAUGGGCUUUGCCUUUGCACAGGCCAAACCAUCAGGGUUUGGAGCAUCAACUGGAUUUGGAACAAACACCUCAACAGGAACCAGUAAUCUGUUUGGUCAGCCAACCACACACGCAUCAACUGGUGGGGGACUGUUUGGUCAGAACAAGCCCUUGUUUGGCAACACAACCUCUACUACACAGAGUGGGUUUGAAUUUGGAACUCAGAAAAGCACAGGAACUGGUGCUCACUUUGGUCAAGCAACACAUAAUAAGGGAUAUUUUGUGAAAGUAAUCAAAUCUUGACAUUUCCGGGUGGAUUGUUUGCAAACAAGUCUGCAUUUGGAGCCCAGACUUCCUCCACUGGCGGGUUCAGAGGAUUUGGAACCAACACUAACACGGGCCAACCUUUUUGUCAAACCAUUCUCUACACCCAGUACAGGAUUUGGAUUCAACACUGCAACCACUCCAUCUGUAUUUGAUGGAACACAGCACUUUGGUGCAGCAAAACCAGCUAGCUUUAGCCUAACAACAACCUCAGCAGCUCCAGCAUUCUGAUGAUUCAACUUUACAGAGGGAAUGAGCACAGGAACCAGUAUGUUAGGGAAUACACUGAAUCAACUUGGGACUUGGUGCCUUUGGCUCAGCUGCCCCUACAGGUUUUUGGACAUUCAGUAGUGCAACUUCUGGUCUUGGUAAAACCGCCUCUGUAGCUUAGUGGUAGAGUAUCUGCUUCGAGUGUGGGAGGUUGUGGGUUCGAUCUUUGGCGGCAUCAUACCAAAGGCGUAAAAAAUGGUACUCGUAGCUUUCUCGCUAGAUGCUCAGCAUUAAGAAGAUAGUGCUAGGACUGGUCAGCCCGGUUUCAGUAUAAUGUGACUGGGUGGGGUAUGCCAUGUGUCUAUGACAUCUUAUUCCAGUGAGGCAGUACUAUAAAGUUGGGCAUUGUGCUCAUUGCUACAAGUAGACCCAGUCAUUUAUAUGACUGAAAAAAUGUUGAAAAAGAUGUUAAACUCGAACACACACACACUUCUGGUCUUGUCAGUACAGUUCUCACACUAGGAGGGACAGCAAAUCAAGCUGCAGUCAGCCAGACAGCUCAGCUACAACAGAUGCUGCUAGCACUUACACAUACGAUGUUUCUCCAUUUUUCUGGAACAUGAAAGAGAGUAAGAUCAAAGGGGAAGAUGUUCUGAAACCCACCGACCCAGUGGCACAGAAAACCAUUCUGGCUAAUCAGCAUAAAGUGUGUCUGAGACCUUUGGCAAAGAUCAGACCCAAGGCUUUGUCUGGAGCACUGAAUGGUAACAAGCCUCAGAUAUUUGAAAGCUUGGAAGAUGAUUAUUUCUGUUUUGGAAGUGACACAUUCCAGCUAAGGAAGAGUGUUAAGAAACUGACAAUUAAAACGUUGGGAUAAGAUUCAAGUAACCCAAGCAGAGCCUCAUCUAUGAGUGGUGAACCUGCAAACAUGUCUUCUUUAAGGGAAAAAGAGAAUUUCAGGGGAAGGUCCUCUCCUGUUGCAUACAAUAAACAGAGAAGACAGGAGGUUGAUGUUCCUGAAACUGAGAAUAUCAUCAGAAGUACAAACAUCUCUGAUCAGAUAGAUACACCAGAUAGAAGGCCGAACAUGGAUGACACAGUUGCUAUAUUGAAUGCGCAGAAUAAAUCUUCUAGCAUUAGGGAACCAGUUAGUUCCAGUGCAAGAGAACCAGUCAAUUCCAGACUAAUUUGCAGGAUGACACAGUCAAUAUCAGCAUCAUUUCCAUAACGGUGAUGUCAGUAUAGAUGAGAGACCAAUGACAAUGCCACCCCCACACCCAGCGGGUAUUGUACUAUCAAAACCUGGGUAUUACACAGUACCGAGUCAGGAGGCAUUCUCAGAGAUGGUGGAUGAAUAUGGCAACUGCUUUAUUGAGGACUUUGCAAUAGGCAGGGAAGGACACGCAAGUAUCUUCCAGGAAUGACAAAUAUUGCCUAUAUGAACUUUGAUGAGACUGUGUUUUUCCGUCGCAAAGAGGUAAUCAUGUACCCAGACGAUAACAACAAACCUGAAGUGGGUGAAGGUCUCAGUAAGAAUGCUUAGAUCACUUUGGACUGUAUUUGGCUGAGAGAUAAAUCUAUUGGAACUCUAAUUAAGUAUGGUCUGGUUGAUGACUCGGAUGAGGAAGAUAUACCAUAACAGGACAAGAAACGUUUACGUCUGGCACAACAGCAACAGAUGGCUGUACUGUGAGUAAAAUCAUCGUGAGAUGUUAGAGAUCCAGUUGGUGCAUUCGAGAAGCACAAGGGAAGGGAACUGUCCUGUAUUUACACCAUCAGUGGGUGUGGAGGAGCUGCAUCAGUACGCAGAGAGAAAUCAGGAUGAACUCAAGAC
rnacentral:misc_RNA from 1 species